GUUUGUCUCUCUUCUCAUAUUCUUAUUGUUUCAGGAAAUUUAGAGUUUAUACCGAAGGACAUAAAGAAGGAAAAGGGAAAUAUUCCCUAGCUAGCUCUUUUCUUGGAGCUAGUUGAUGGCGACAAACUUCUGCCUAAGAAGAAGAGCCCAGUCGGUACACUUAAUUCCUCCAGUUAUUCAUGGAUUCCACGAAACCUCAAGGGCUUCGACCUGGAUGAUGACACUUCAAACGUUGAAGUUCAGAUUCUUUGCAUGUCUGUUUCCUAGGUUAUUUAGUGAAAAUUGCAUUAUUGCAGGUAACUAAGUAGAAUUUCAAAAUUAAGGCUACUUGUUGCCAAGUUAUGAGAGCUACUUGUGAAAAAAGUAAGCUGAUUUGUACAGGGAUGUAAUGUAUAUUGUCCAUCUUGAUGUACUUCGGAUCUGCUUUGAGUUAAAUAAAUGCGAUUUUUGCAUCAUAAAAA